rnacentral:tRNA from 1 species
GGGGAUGUAGCUCAGUGGUAGAGCGUUCGCUUCGCAUGUGAAAGGUCCUGGGUUCAAUCCCCAGCAUCUCCA